CGCCUUUCUUUUUUUCUUUUUUUUUCUUUCUUCUCUUUUUGGGGGGGAGGGGUGUUAACCACAUGGCCUUUCUAAGCGACCUUUGCAGUUUCUGCAGCUACUAUUCUGGGGAUUAAAGUCAAUAGUUUGUGGGUUGGACAGUUUGGCUUGGUAACCCCCUAAGCACAUUCUAGAAGAAAAAAAAGUGACCUGACAAAAGGUCUUUGAGAGGUGAACCGCUGAAAUCCAGGAACACAGGAAGUUUGGAGUUUUCCAAUUCCUCAUUUGUGGUUCUUCUGAGCAGGCCAUGGCGUUCAACUACAACACAGCUUCCCGAAACUCAGCAGAGCCUCGGUGCCUUCUCAGAGGAUAACACAGAAGUGCAAAGACGAUGGCAUCUCAAGAGCUAAACUGACAUAUGACUGAUCCUAAUUGCAAGGACGGCAAAGAGAUACUAUGUCUUUUCAAUUUAGCAAGAAAAAGAAGGAGAUUCAGAAGGACAACCAGAAUCUUCAUCCGGCGACGGAUGGAGAUAGAGACAGAGACCCUCAUCAGAG